UACGGAGGGUGCAAGCGUUAUCCGGAUUCACUGGGUUUAAAGGGUGCGUAGGUGGGCAGGUAAGUCAGUGGUGAAAUCUCCGGGCUUAACCCGGAAACUGCCGUUGAUACUAUCUGUCUUGAAUAUAGUGGAGGUGAGCGGAAUAUGUCAUGUAGCGGUGAAAUGCUUAGAUAUGACAUAGAACACCCAUUGCGAAGGCAGCUCGCUACACUAUCAUUGACACUGAGGCACGAAAGCGUGGGGAGUCAAAC
rnacentral:rRNA from 1 species